AACGGCGAGUGAAGCGGGAAGAGCUCAAAUUUGAAAUCUUCAAGGUUCUACCUUGACGAAUUGUAGUUUAAAGAAGUGUUUUCUGUUAGAUGAGUAGCAAAAGUUCCUUGGAAUGGGACAUCAUAGAGGGUGAGAAUCCCGUAUUUGGUUAUUCAUUCUAGCUUUGUGAUACACUUUCAAAGAGUCGGAUUGUUUGGGAAUGCAGUCCAAAAUGGGUGGUAAAUUUCAUCUAAAGCUAAAUAUUGGCGAGAGACCGAUAGCGAACAAGUACCGUGAGGGAAAGAUGAAAAGAACUUUGAAAAGAGAGUUAAACAGUACGUGAAAUUGUCAAAAGGGAAGCGUUUGACACCAGUGUUGUUUUUCCGAAAAUCAAUUACGAAUGGCUUGAUUUUGUGUUGUAUUGACCUUAUCAGCUUUCUUCACUUUUUUCGAGUCUUUCUUAAUGCACUUUUCGGUUAACAAGUCAACAUCAAUUUCUUUUGUUGUAAAAGAGUAUUCGGAAGGUGGCUUUCUUUUCGGAGAAAGUGUUUAUAGCCCUAUACUUCUACAAUCGGAGAGAUUGAGGUCUGCAGCGUAGAUCCUUCGGGGUUAGAUACAUUUGUGCUAAGUUGUAGCUUUUCAUAGACAACUUGUUGACUAUGUUUAGUCAUGCGGCUUACUCGCUUGUGCUAUUUUACCUAC
rnacentral:rRNA from 1 species